rnacentral:rRNA from 1 species
UACGUAGGCAGCGAGCGUUGUUCGGAGUUACUGGGCGUAAAGAGUGCGUAGGCGGUUUUCUAAGUUUGGUGUGAAAUCUCCCGGCUUAACUGGGAGGGUGCGCCGAAAACUGGAAGGCUUGAGUAUGGGAGAGGUAAGCGGAAUUCCUGGUGUAGCGGUGAAAUGCGUAGAUAUCGGGAGGAACACCAGUGGCGAAGGCGGCUACCUGGCCCAUUCUUGACGCUGAGGCGCGAAAGCUAGGGGAGCAAACGGG